GCCAGGAUGGUGUAGUGGUUUGAGUGUUGUACUAUGACUCUGAAGAUCAGGGUUUAAUUCCCAGUUCGGCCA
rnacentral:tRNA from 1 species